rnacentral:tRNA from 1 species
GGAAGGGUGGCCGAGUGGUUCAAGGCACGGUUCUCGAAAAGCCGCGGGAAGCAAUUCCCUCGUGAGUUCGAAUCUCACCCCUUCCGCCA